rnacentral:rRNA from 1 species
GACGAACGCUGGCGGCGUGCUUAACACAUGCAAGUCGAGCGGAGCGGCGAACGGGUGAGUAACGCGUGAGUAACUGCCCCCCUCUCUGGGAUAACAGUUGGAAACGGCUGCUAAUACCGGCUAGUGGGGGAUGACUCGCGGCCUAUCAGCUUGUUGGUGGGGUAGUGGCCUACCAAGGCGACGACCGGUAGCCGGCCGGGGCGGGCAACCGGCCACAAUGGGCUAAGGUAGGGAGCAGACGCCAACGGUAGGCAGUGGUGGAGAAUAGUGCACAGUGAGGCAGACCGUGAGGAAGAAGCGCCGCGUGCGGAAUAACGGCUUGCGAGGUGUAAACCACGUUCAGACAUGACGCGGUAGUGGAAGAGGAAGCACCGGCUAACUACGUGCCAGCAGCCGCGGUAAUAC